GGGGGGCGGCGGGCUACACAUGCAAGUCGAGCGGAACGACUUAACUGAACCUUCGGGGAACGUUAAGGGCGUCGAGCGGCGGACGGGUGAGUAAUGCCUAGGAAGUUGCCCAGUAGAGGGGGAUAACCAUUGGAAACGAUGGCUAAUACCGCAUAACCUCUUCGGAGCAAAGCAGGGGACCUUCGGGCCUUGCGCUAUUGGAUACGCCUAGGUGGGAUUAGCUAGUUGGUGAGGUAAGGGCUCACCAAGGCGACGAUCCCUAGCUGGUCUGAGAGGAUGAUCAGCCACACUGGAACUGAGACACGGUCCAGACUCCUACGGGAGGCAGCAGUGGGGAAUAUUGCACAAUGGGCGAAAGCCUGAUGCAGCCAUGCCGCGUGUGUGAAGAAGGCCUUCGGGUUGUAAAGCACUUUCAGCAGUGAGGAAGAUGGUAAGCUUAAUACGCUUAUCAUUUGACGUUAGCUGCAGAAGAAGCACCGGCUAACUCCGUGCCAGCAGCCGCGGUAAUACGGAGGGUGCGAGCGUUAAUCGGAAUUACUGGGCGUAAAGCGCAUGCAGGUGGUGAGUUAAGUCAGAUGUGAAAGCCCGGGGCUCAACCUCGGAAUUGCAUUUGAAACUGGCUCACUAGAGUACUGUAGAGGGGGGUAGAAUUUCAGGUGUAGCGGUGAAAUGCGUAGAGAUCUGAAGGAAUACCAGUGGCGAAGGCGGCCCCCUGGACAGAUACUGACACUCAGAUGCGAAAGCGUGGGGAGCAAACAGGAUUAGAUACCCUGGUAGUCCACGCCGUAAACGAUGUCUACUUGGAGGUUGUGGCCUUGAGCCGUGGCUUUCGGAGCUAACGCGUUAAGUAGACCGCCUGGGGAGUACGGUCGCAAGAUUAAAACUCAAAUGAAUUGACGGGGGCCCGCACAAGCGGUGGAGCAUGUGGUUUAAUUCGAUGCAACGCGAAGAACCUUACCUACUCUUGACAUCCAGAGAACUUAGCAGAGAUGCUUUGGUGC
rnacentral:rRNA from 1 species